UACGUAGGGGGCUAGCGUUGUCCGGAUUUAUUGGGCGUAAAGAGCGUGUAGGCGGCCAGAUAGGUCCGUUGUGAAAACUGGAGGCUUAACCUCCAGCUGUCGAUGGAAACCAUCUGGCUAGAGUCCGGAAGAGGAGAGUGGAAUUCCUGGUGUAGCGGUGAAAUGCGCAGAUAUCAGGAAGAACACCCGUGGCGAACGCGGCUCUCUGGGACGGUACUGACGCUGAGACGCGAAAGCGUGGGGAGCGAACAGG
rnacentral:rRNA from 1 species